AUGAAGAUGAUCAGGAGGAGCUUCAGACGAUCAGCUGUUGAUCCACACGUCCCACUGUGGAGCUCUAGUUCAGUAACUCAGGCCUGCCGUACGGCUGGGACGAGGCCUUCACUGCAGACGGAGUCAAAUACUACAUCAAGUAAGAGGAAGCACAAAGUUUCCAACCUCCUCUCCAUCGAUGGACUGGAGGUCCCGUUGUCUAAUGUGUUGAGGACGUUUCCUACAUAGAGAGAUCGGUGAUGUGAGUGUGGUAACGUUGGUGUCGUCGUGUGUCUUCGUGACAGUCACGUGACCCAGACGACGUCAUGGAGCCUUCCUGCGACGACCAGCAGCGGCACGGCGCCGCCUCCCACGCCCCCGGAGACCUCGGCGCCGGACGCGGAGGCGGCGGAGCGGAGACCCGGGGGCCCGUCCAUCGAGACGGAGAUGUAGACCUGCAGCCGUUUGUGUCGAGCUCCUGAAGCUCUGAGCGACGAAUCAUCAGCGAUUUACUGAAUCAGAUCAAACCAGCGAAACUUAAUAAUAAAACAUCUGUAAAACAACAUUAUUUUAUUUAUGUAUGAAUUCAUGU
rnacentral:lncRNA from 1 species